rnacentral:rRNA from 1 species
UACAGAGGUCCCAAGCGUUGUUCGGAUUCACUGGGCGUAAAGGGUGCGCAGGUGGCAUGGUAAGUUCGAUGUGAAAGCCCCGGGCUUAACCCGGGAAAGGCAUUGGAUACUACUGUGCUGGAGGAUUGGAGGGGGGACUGGAAUUCUUGGUGUAGCAGUGAAAUGCGUAGAUAUCAAGAGGAACACCAGUGGCGAAGGCGGCAUCCUGGACCAAUUCUGACACUGAGGAGCGAAAGCCAGGGGAGCAAACGGG